UUCACUCAUGUUCUCAGUAUUAUGUAUGUAUCUAGGUAUUUAUUUAAUCACAAUUUUUUUUGCAUUUAUACAGAUUGCCUUCUUCUGAACAUUGGUUGUCAGUCUUUGUGUGUAGUUUUUCAUUGAUUCUGUUGUAUUUCUUUGCAAGAAAAUGAAUCUCAGGACCAUAUUUAGUGACAAAUGCAUACUUUGAUAAUAAAUUUACAUUAAACUUUGAACUUUGGAUUUAAUUUGCACACUCUGUAUCAAGUGACAUUCUUGGAGAUUAAAGUAAAAUGCUUCAGUUGAAGCUCUUCAUUAUGACUGAAAGGGAAGAGGAGUAAGUCUCAUUUUGGUGUGGAAACUGGUAACAGAAGGUGGAACACACACUCAGCAAGUUGGGCAGCAUCUACGGAGGGAAACAAACAGCUGACCUUUCAAGACAAGUUCCUACAGCAGGAGUCGGGCCACAGCAUAAUGAGAGUCAGAUGUAAAAUCUCCAUGAUUACUACGAAGUGCACAGGGGAGAGUACCCGGACCGGUUGCAUCAGAGCCUGGUAUGGAAACACUAAUGCCCAGGAAUGGAGAGGCCUGUGAAAAAUGGUGGACACAGCCUAAUCCACAGGCAAAUCCCUCCCCACCAUUGAGCACAGCUACAAGAGCCACCAUCCAUCAUCAAGGAUCCCCAGCAUCCAGACCCCGUGCUCUCUUCUCGCUGCUGCCAUCAGAAAGGAGGUACAGGAGCCUCGGGCUCCAUACCACCAGCUUCAGGGAGAGCUGUCACCCUUCAUUCAUUAGACUCCCUGGAGUGGGUAACUUCACUCAUCUCAACUCUGAACUGACUCAACAAC